GUCUAUGAACAUACCACCCUGAACAUAUCCAAUCUCCUCUGAUCUCAGAAGCUAAGCAGACUCGGGCCUGGUUAGUUCUUGGAUGGGAGAAUUUUUGCACCUAUAUUUA
ensembl:rRNA 5S_rRNA 5S ribosomal RNA